ACACUUACCACGCUGCGCAUUGGUCCUCCGAUCCUUCAUACUACUCCUCUUUCGUCAGACAAAAACUGUCAUGUAUUGUCAUGUUGUGUCUUGUUUCUGUCCUUUCUCUACACCCUUUCUCCCUCUGCUGGUCGUACUAGGUCACCUUUUCUCCCCCUCUUUCCCCCAGCUGUUCCUUGUCUCCUCCUAACUACCUCGUCACCCCUUUUCCCACCUGUUCCCUUUUUCCCUCUGAUUAGUCCUCUAUAUCUCUCUCUGUUUUUGUUUCUGUCCUUUCUCUACACCCUUUCUCCCUCUGCUGGUCGUACUAGGUCACCUUUUCCCCCCCUCUUUCCCCCAGCUGUUCCUUGUCUCCUCCUAACUACCUCGUCACCCCUUUUCCCACCUGUUCCCUUUUUCCCUCUGAUUAGUCCUCUAUAUCUCUCUCUGUUUUUGUUCCUGUCUUUGUCGGAUUCUUGUUUGUGUUUCAUGCCUGAACCAGACUAUCGUCAUGUUUGCUGCAACCUUGUCCUGUCCUGUCGGAAUCUGCCGGUCCAUCUGAGCCUACCUAUGUUUCGUUAUUAAAGAAGCUCUGUUUACGUUAAUUCGCUUUUGGGUCCUCAUUCACGCACCUUAACAAAAAACCCUUACAAAAUAGGAAAGUAUUUAGCACUCCAUGGUUGAAAGAUCUUGUUUAUUGAAAUUCAUUGUGGAUAUGAAUACCAAGUAUGUCUACUUCACCGUCAGCCCAUUUUAUAGGGUAACUGCAAGCUAAUGUAAAAGUUUUAUUUUAAAGAUCCAAUACGUAAUAUUGUACACUUAUCAUAAUUAGGUUUUAGUCCAGAAAAGUUAUCUAGAUCUUCAAGUAGACAUUGCAGGGAUCUAGCUUGCAGAAUUAAUAUAAAACUUGAGUCAUCGGCAUACAUGGGUACCUUUGUUGCAAAACAGUGUGUUUAAAUAAAAAUGUUGGUGACAUAUGAAUAUAUUUAAUAUAGUUUUAUGGUAAAAGGUUAACUUUUUUAGUGUUUCACUAUUUUUUUGUUUAUGCAAUUUCACUGAGGAGGAUGAUCCUCCCCUUCCUCCUCUGAGGAGCCUCCACUGUUCACCGCCCCAAUCCUUUUUUCCACACAACUGUCACGUCCUGACCUUAGUUCCUUUU
rnacentral:lncRNA from 13 species